rnacentral:rRNA from 1 species
UGGGGAAUCUUGGACAAUGGGGGCAACCCUGAUCCAGCCAUGCCGCGUGAGUGAUGAAGGCCUUAGGGUCGUAAAGCUCUUUCGCCUGUGAAGAUAAUGACGGUAGCAGGUAAAGAAACCCCGGCUAACUCCGUGCCAGCAGCCGCGGUAAUACGGAGGGGGUUAGCGUUGUUCGGAAUUACUGGGCGUAAAGCGCACGUAGGCGGACCAGAAAGUUGGGGGUGAAAUCCCGGGGGCUCAACCCCGGAACUGCCUCCAAAACUAUUGGUCUAGAGUUCGAGAGAGGUGAGUGGAAUUCCAAGUGUAGAGGUGAAAUUCGUAGAUAUUUGGAGGAACACCAGUGGCGAAGGCGGCUCACUGGCUCGAUACUGACGCUGAGGUGCGAAAGUGUGGGGAGCAAACAGGAUUAGAUACCCUGGUAGUCCAUGCCGUAAACGUUGGGCACUAGGUGUGGGUCUCAACCAACGAGAUCCGCGCCGUCGCUAACGCAUUAAGU